AGGCUACCUGCUGCCCUACAGGAACCUUCCAGGAAGCGUCAGUCAUCCAAUGGGCCUACAACCUCAACAACCCUCUGAGGCUAACCGACCYCGCCCCCGGCUCCCAUACUGCAGCCUGGAGCGCCUUCUCUGUCAGCGCUGCAGCCGUCAUCCUGGAGACCAUCAAACAGGCGGAGGACAGGAAGGAGGCUCUGGUGGUACGGCUCUAUGAGUCACAUGGCAGCAGUGUCACUGCGUACCUCACUACAGGCUUCCCCAUCGCCGAGGCUUGGCACUGUGAUCUACUGGAGCGAGUGGAUCCRUCUCGCCCUGCACCAAUCACAGCCUCCGGAAUCUCUGUCAGCUUCAGUCCCUUCCAGAUUGUGUCCAUUCUACUGUACCUGAAGUAAAAUGAUUUGGAUGCUGGUCUGAACGUAAUUUUGUCCCUGUAAAUUACGUUCGGCUUCAUAAUGCCUUCAUAAGCACUGCAUAAAUGUGUUACAUAGCAUCUAUAACGGUUUCAUUAAUGUGUCAUCGCCCACUGUGGAAUAUGAUAAAAACGUGCUUUAUAAAGGGU